rnacentral:snRNA from 1 species
GUUCUCACUUUUUCGGCAGCAUAUAUACAAAAUUGGAAUGAUGCAGAGAAGUUUAGCAUGGCCUAUGCACAAGGAUGACAUAAAAUAAAAUCAGGUCAUAGCAAUUCUC